rnacentral:tRNA from 1 species
AUAUUUUAAGGCUAAUGCCUUCUUAAUAUCUUCAAUAUUACACUUUAAAAAUAAGCUAUUAAAAUA